UACGUAGGGUGCAAGCGUUGUCCGGAAUUAUUGGGCGUAAAGAGCUCGUAGGCGGUCUGUCACGUCGGCUGUGAAAACCCGAGGCUCAACCUCGGGCCUGCAGUCGAUACGGGCAGACUAGAGUUCGGUAGGGGAGACUGGAAUUCCUGGUGUAGCGGUGAAAUGCGCAGAUAUCAGGAGGAACACCUGUGGCGAAAGCGGCUCACUGGACCAUAACUGACGCUGAUGCACGAAAGCUAGGGGAGCAAACAGG
rnacentral:rRNA from 1 species